rnacentral:rRNA from 1 species
AACGAACGCUGGCGGCAGGCUUAACACAUGCAAGUCGAACGCCCCGCAAGGGGAGUGGCAGACGGGUGAGUAACGCGUGGGAACAUACCCUUUUCUACGGAAUAGCUCUGGGAAACUGGAAUUAAUACCGUAUACGCCCUACGGGGGAAAGAUUUAUCGGGGAAGGAUUGGCCCGCGUUGGAUUAGCUAGUUGGUGGGGUAAAGGCCUACCAAGGCGACGAUCCAUAGCUGGUCUGAGAGGAUGAUCAGCCACAUUGGGACUGAGACACGGCCCAAACUCCUACGGGAGGCAGCAGUGGGGAAUAUUGGAAAAUGGGCGCAAGCCUGAUCCAGCCAUGCCGCGUGAGUGAUGAAGGCCUUAGGGUUGUAAAGCUCUUUCACCGAUGAAGAUAAUGACGGUAGUCGGAGAAGAAGCCCCGGCUAACUUCGUG